GAAUCCACAUGCCUGCGCUUGUUGCAACCCAGAUUCCAACUAUCUUCUGAGUGAAAGGAGCUUCCUCAAAUCCCCUCUAUAUCUUUUACAACUCUUCUUAAACUGUGUCUUCAAAUUUUAGAUACCCUGGUUAUGGACAUUAGGUGCAGAAGUAGGCUUUUCGGCCCUUUGAGCCAGCACCGCCAUUCAAUGUGAUCAUGGCUGAUCAUCCACAAUCAGUACCCCGUUCCUGCCUUCUCCCCAUAUCCCCUGACUCCACUAUCUUUCAGAGCCCUAUCUAGCUCUCUCUAGAAAGCAUCCAGAGAACCUGAGGCAGAGAAUUCCACAGACUCACCACUCUCUGUGAGAAAAAGUGUUUCCUCGUCUCUGUUCUAAAUGGCUUACUCCUAUUCUUAAACUGUGGCUCCUGGUUCUGGACUCCCCCAACAUCGGGAACAUGUUUCCUGCCUCUAGCGUGUCCAAGUCCUUAACAAUCUUACAUGUUUCAAUGAUAUCCCUCUCAUCCUUCUAAACUCCAGAAUGUGCAAGCCCAGCUGCUCCAUUCUCUCAGCAUAUUACAGUCCCGUCAUCCCGGGAAUUAACCUUGUAAACCUACGCUGCAUUCCCUCAAUAGCAAGAAUGUCCUUCCUCAAUUUAGGGGACCAAAACUGCACACAAUACUCCAGGUGUGGUCUCACUAGGGCUCUGUACAACUGCAGAAGGACCUUUUUGCUCCUAUAUUCCAUUCCUCUUGUUAUAAAGGCCAAAAGAACUGUGGCAUUCCGUGCCUCAGAGACUGGUGGUGGAAGUAGAUAUGAUUGAGAUAUUUAAGAGGGUUUUAGAUAGCCAUGUGGGUACACAGGGAAUUAACAUCUGCAGGCAGAAGGAAAUAGUUGAAUUUAGCAAUAUGUUUGACGUUGACAUUGUGGUUGGAACGGUCUGUUCUCUCAUGUACUGUCCUAUGUUCUAUCGUUUAUGUAUAUUGAUUGCACAUGGUAUCUUCUCCUACAUGAUAUACUGGUUGCAUGUGGUACAUUCAGUGCAUAUGAUCAUUUGAUUGCACAUGAUGUAUUAAUUACAAAUGGUGUAUUGAUUGUACAUGAUUUUGUCAUUGCACAUGGGGCAUUGAUUGCACACAGUUCAUUAAGUGCACACAGGAUAUUGACUGCACACAGUUUACUAAUUGCACAUGGUACAACGAUUACACAUGGUAUAUUGUGGAAACCAGCUCAUUUUGAAUGUAUUGUUCUUACAAAUUCCAAAGAAUAAAUACAAACUGAACUUGUUGAAUUGUUUUUGUGAAACUCUGCUUACUGAAUACCACUUGCUUUUGACAGUUCUUUUCCUAUUCACUCUGCAGAUUUGGGAAUUAACAAAAGUACCAGAACAAUUGAGUCAUACCGAAAUCAGCAAUAAGUGAAAGCUCCUACUUAUGAAAACAAAUUAUCCUUAUUUCUGCAGGAUGAUUCUGUGUUCUCUUCCAUAUUCCUGUAUUCCUUUCUGACUCCUCGCACAAUUUUACUUUCUUCAAGGAGUGAGAAGAUGAGAUGGAUAAAUGGAUUAUUUGAGACAACGCUGGUUUACAAAGCUGAAAUAAGAAUUUUUUAACAAUUGCUUCAGUGUCAUCAUAAAUUGAUACAGAACACUGUAAGAGCUCAAGAUAGACACAAAAACCUGGAUUAUCUCAGCGGGUCAGACAGCAUCUCUGGAGAAAAGAAAUAGAUACUACUGACCUGCUGAUUAUUUCCAACAUGGAGACAUAAGAGACUGCAGAUUCUGGAGUCUUAAGCAAUAAACAAAGUGCUGAAGGAACUCAGCAAGUCAGGCAUCAUCUGUGAAAUGAUCAGAUGACCUUUCAGGUCAGGACUCUACUUCAGACUGAUGAAUUAUUUCUAACACUUUGUUAUGAUUUACGGGAUCCAUAGUACUUUUUAUGUCAAUACUAUUUCAUUAUUUUGCUUGAUUUAUUAUAUACCUAUGUGUAUAGAAUGAACAAAACUAAUGAAGCAAAAAAAAACCCUUCAGAAACACAGAAGGUAUUGAGACAGGCAAAAGAUUUCUCAGAUUUUUAAAUAAGAUUUGCAGCACUGGAAUGGGAAGAACGUGCUAACCAAUGACUUGGAUGAUUAACUGGCAGAAUGGCUGUACUUACUUUGUUCAUGUUGUAAAUUAAAUUAAUUUAAAUUAACAAUGGUGAAUAGAAGUCAAAACACCAGUUACUUCUAUGGAAAACUUGGCAUUUAAUUAGAACUAUAUUUUGAAAAAUAUGCAUAUAAUCUACCAGUUCGUGGAGGAAUACAGUUGGGUUAAUUGAUUGCAGCCAAUUGCUAUUUUAACUAAAUUAUUAAAAUAUAUAGCAGACCGAUUAAAUCAGAUCUAAAGCCAUUUUAUGUUCAAAUGCUGAUAUUGUGAUCCCUUCAGACCAUAUUUGUGAUCUAGCCUGGUUAUUUUCUCAAUCUUCACAUUUAAUGCUAGUCUAAUUCUGUUUGGCCUGUUGGAUUUCUUCAUCUUGGCUCCAGUAAACCCUUAUCAAUUAAUAUAAUUUGCUAACUGAACAAAAACAAGCAUAUAAAUAGAUGCAUUGAAACUUGAGCUCCCUGUCUUUCAGGACAAUAUUUUAAAAUAAUUCUGAAAAUUAGGCAGAAAUGUUAAAAAAUAAUAUACUAUAGUUCUGUUUAGGACUUGCAAGGCUCUCAAUGGAAGCUCUAUACAGAACUUACAGCUCCAGCAUUUAACAAUGCUGAAAAGAGAGUCAGCACUGCCUGUAGUACCAUUAUACCAUCCAGGCUUAUCAUCAAACUCGCAAUGACGGUGUCAGCACUCAUCUCUGCAACUGGAUCCUCGACUUACUGACCAACAGUACCCAAUCAAUGAGGAUAUGGCACAAAUCAUCCUCCGCGAUAAUCCUCAACACUGGUGCUCCG